rnacentral:misc_RNA from 1 species
UACGUAGGUGGCAAGCGUUGUUCGGAUUUACUGGGCGUAAAGCGCACGUAGGCGGAUUGUUAAGUCAGGGGUGAAAUCCUGGAGCUCAACUCCAGAACUGCCUUUGAUACUGGCAAUCUCGAGUCCGGAAGAGGUAAGUGGAACUCCUAGUGUAGAGGUGGAAUUCGUAGAUAUUAGGAGGAACACCAGUGGCGAAGGCGGCUCACUGGCUCGAUACUGACGCUGAGGUGCGAAAGCGUGGGGAGCAAACAGG